UCUAUUGCUUUGUUUUAGCCAUUGGAUUUCACUCAAAACUCUCAAAAUGACUCCUCCCACAACAUAAUGAUGUUCCCCAAGUUUUGGACUCAAUCCGAUACCGAUUGGUCCUUGAAAUUGGACAAUUCAGGUUCGUACGAAGUUUGUUCUGAAAUGGAGUGGUUGGUCUAUUGCACUAUUUUAGCCAUUGGAUUUCACUCAAAACUCUCAAAAUGAC
rnacentral:lncRNA from 1 species